rnacentral:rRNA from 1 species
AUUGAACGCUGGCGGCAUGCUUUACACAUGCAAGUCGAACGGCAGCGCGGGUUCCGGCCUUGCCGCGAGUGGCGAACGGGAGUGUAAUACAUCGGAACGUGCCCAGUAGGGGGGGAAAGCACGGCGAACGCUGGAAUAAUACCACAUACGCUGUGGGGGAAAAAGGGGGGGAUCUCCGGACUUUGUGGCAUUGGGCCGCUCGAUGGCAGAUUAGCUAGUUGGUGGGGUAAAGGCCUACCAAGGCGACGAUCUGUAGCUGGUCUGAGAGGACGACCAGCCACACUGGGACUGAGACACGGCCCAGACUCCUACGGGAGGCAGCAGUGGGGAAUUUUGGACAAUGGGCGAAAGCCUGAUCCAGCAAUGCCGCGUGUGUGAUGAAGGCCUUCGGGUUGUAAAGCACUUUUGGCGGGAACGAAAAGGACUGGGCCAAUACCACGGUUCGAUGACGGUACCCGAAGAAUAAGCACCGGCUAACUACGUG